GCUCUAGCCUCCAGAGAUCUGCUCCCUAGACUUUCCCCACCUCUUUCCCCUGGGCCAAAGGAGAAGGAGUCAUGGCGGGAAGCACCAGAGGCUGAGAGGGUGGAUCUGACUCCUUUUGGAGACCCAGUAGGAAAGUCCUCCCUGUCAUCUGUUGUAGCCGGGGAGCAGGCGGCCACGUUCUGGGACCUAAGCUCAUUCAUUGCUCAGUUCCCCAGGUCCUGAAUCCAGCCUCACAUCCCACGCCACACAGGCUGUGGCACAAAAGGGACAAACACCCUCAAGACCUAGGCCAGAUAAUUAUCAAGCAAAUUCCCUUCAAUUUCCUGCCUUCACCCCCACCCCCACCCUCGGGCACUGCCUGCUGCGCGUUCCCUGAUUCGGCCCCGGCUGUGCAAUCAACGCCAGGUAACCUGCGGGGCCCUGUAAUUGCUCUGGAGUUGCCUGGGACUUUGCGAGAACCGUACUCAUGUCUACCUGGCACCCAAAUUAGCGGCAUUAAGAGUUUGGCUUUGCAGAUGGAGAAAACUGAACUCAAGACUUGUUUGCUGGACAGUCCUGAGUGAAUCAUCUCUUCUCUUCCUCAGUGUGACAGAAUGAGAGUUUCUCGUCCGGCUGGUGUGGAGAUGAGAUUUGGGGACUCUUCUGUUAAUAAUGACCUUUUUGGAUUUAUG
rnacentral:lncRNA from 1 species